rnacentral:piRNA from 1 species
UGCCAAACUCCAUUUAACGGC